AAGUAUUAAUAUUUACAAGAGAAUAAAUAGAAACAAAGAAAAAACUAUUUACAAAAGUGCAUGCUGAAUAACAGAGUCAAAGAUUAAUAAUUGACCCACAGACACGCGUGUCCGUGGGUCAGAUUUGGUUUUACGAAAAAAAUAGGCAGUUUAUCUGAAGGUAGUUCCAGUUAUAUUCAUUUCACUGACUGACUCACACUACGCAUUUGAUUGGUUAAUCGGGUAGAUUGAACGCAUCUGAUUGGUUAAUGGUAGCGGAAGUCAAAUCUGAACCUCAAUUACAAUCAAUAAUAGAAAAUAUUUACAAGAACAGGGUUAGGAAUUUUCUAAAAACCAUAAGGUUUUUAUUUAAAGUUCCUAGGUUAUAAAUUUAAACUGGUUAAUAAAAUAAAUAAGAGAAAAAAAAGAUAUAGAGAAAUGUAUAAAUAGCGAUAAUCGCCGCAUUUUCAAAAAAGGCCCUGGGAACCAGGUUGUACGUAAGUUUUAAAAAUAAGUUCUGAAGUGGAAUAAGAUAAGUUUUAAGAAAAAAAAUGUAGAACAUAGUCAUAAUUUAUUGUCAAUAUGAUUUUAUUUGGUUGAAUCUAAAUGAAGAAAGUACUUUUUUUUUGUUUAAUACUUACAUAGAUCCAAGUGUUGAGUAGUUAUAAAUAAAUUUGUCCAGCUCUAAAACUAACUCUUGACGAAGGGCCUUCGCUCGAAACGUCGAGUUUCUGCUUGUUUUUUAAGGUAGUAAUAUAACCACUCAGCACAGCAUUUUCACAUUGAUACUACCUACACUGGUAC